UACGUAGGUCCCGAGCGUUGUCCGGAUUUAUUGGGCGUAAAGCGAGCGCAGGUGGUUUAUUAAGUCUGGUGUAAGAGGCAGUGGCUCAACCAUUGUAUGCAUUGGAAACUGGUAGACUUGAGUGCAGGAGAAGAGAGUGGAAUUCCAUGUGUAGCGGUGAAAUGCAUAGAUAUAUGGAGGAACACCGGUGGCGAAAGCGGCUCUCUGGCCUGUAGCUGACACUGAGGCUCGAAAGCGUGGGGAGCAAACAGG
rnacentral:rRNA from 1 species